rnacentral:rRNA from 1 species
UGAGGAAUUUUGCGCAAUGGCCGCAAGGCUGACGCAGCAACGCCGCGUGGGUGAUGAAGGCCUUCGGGUCGUAAAGCCCUGUCAGGUGGGAAGAAAGGCCUGGAGAGGAAAGGUUUCAGGUUUGACGGUACCACCAGAGGAAGCACCGGCUAACUCCGUGCCAGCAGCCGCGGUAAUACGGAGGGUGCGAGCGUUAUUCGGAAUUACUGGGCGUAAAGCGCGUGUAGGCGGGGGGACAAGUCUGAUGUGAAAGCCCUGGGCUUAACCUGGGAAGCGCAUUGGAAACUGUGUGACUUGAGUACUGGAGAGGAAGGGGGAAUGCCCGGUGUAGAGGUGAAAUUCGUAGAGAUCGGGAGGAAGACCAGUGGCGUAGGCGCGCUUCUGGACGGUAACUGACGCUGAGACGCGAAAGCGUGGGGAGCAAACAG